CCUGGGCAAAAGACCUGGGAAAGAGGGCGUCUGGCCCUGGGCUUGGCCUUAUCUAGGGUAGGGGCGGGGCAAGGUGUGGCCACAUCGAAUUCAGAUGUGAC